UUCCGUGGUGUAGGGGUUAACAUGCCUGCCUGUCACGCAGGAGAUCGCGGGUUCAAAUCCUGCCCCCGCAAU
rnacentral:tRNA from 1 species